GACGAACGCUGGCGGCGUGCCUAACACAUGCAAGUCGAGCGGGGUCCAUCCGGUAGCAAUACCGGGGAAGACCUAGCGGCGAACGGGUGAGUAACACGUGAGAAACCUGCCCCGAAGUCUGGGAUAACCCGAGGAAACUCGAGCUAAUACCGGAUGUCUUCUUCUGAUCGCAUGGUCGGAUGGAGAAAGAUUUAUCGCUUCGGGAGGGUCUCGCGGCCUAUCAGCUAGUUGGCGGGGUAACGGCCCACCAAGGCGUCGACGGGUAGCUGGUCUGAGAGGACGAUCAGCCACACUGGGACUGAGACACGGCCCAGACUCCUACGGGAGGCAGCAGUGGGGAAUAUUGCGCAAUGGGCGAAAGCCUGACGCAGCAACGCCGCGUGCGGGACGAAGGCCUCGUGU
rnacentral:rRNA from 1 species